GCGACCUCAGUGAUGGCUAUGGAAUUAUCAUAUCCAUUCUCUAUUUCAUCCUAUGAAGUCACUAUAAGGGCUGGCUCAAGGUGGAGUGGAAAGCUUGGGACAGGAGUAUAUCUGCCAAUGCUUUUAGGUUUGCUGACCAGAAGCAGUUACUACUCCAAGUGAACUAGCAUCAACUGACAACCAACUACAUAUUAUAAAUUUCUCAAAAUGAAUCUACAGAUGUUAGUUUCUGUAUUGCAAAUAAAUAUUUUUUAUAA